rnacentral:hammerhead_ribozyme from 15 species
CAGGCGUCUAAGGUAGGCUUCUACAAUGCCUUACUGAUGAGUCUAGUAAUGGAUUAAGCCGGGACGAAACGCCAA